rnacentral:rRNA from 1 species
UACAGAGGGGGCAAGCGUUGUUCGGAAUUACUGGGCGUAAAGGGCGCGUAGGCGGCCCUCUAAGUCAGACGUGAAAUCCCCAGGCUCAACUUGGGAACUGCGUCCGAUACUGGAUGGCUUGAAUUCGGGAGAGGGAUGCAGAAUUCCAGGUGUAGCGGUGAAAUGCGUAGAUAUCUGGAGGAAUACCGGUGGCGAAGGCGGCAUCCUGGACCGACAUUGACGCUGAUGAGCGAAAGCCAGGGGAGCAAACGGG